AAUAAAGUGCCUGAUAAAAAGGAUUAUCGUGAUAGGAUAAAUCAUGUAAUUUAUUAAUUACCUUUAUUA
rnacentral:tRNA from 2 species